UGGUCCUACGGGAGGCAGCAGUGGGGAAUAUUGGGCAAUGGGCGCAAGCCUGACCCAGCAACGCCGCGUGAAGGAAGAAGGCUUUCGGGUUGUAAACUUCUUUUGACUGGGAAGAGCAGAAGACGGUACCUGUCGAAUAAGCCACGGCUAACUACGUGCCAGCAGCCGCGGUAAUACGUAGGUGGCAAGCGUUGUCCGGAUUUACUGGGUGUAAAGGGCGUGUAGCCGGGCUGACAAGUCAGCGGUAAAAUGUCGGGGCUCAACCCCGGCCGGCCGUUGAAACUGGCGUGCUCGA
rnacentral:rRNA from 1 species